rnacentral:rRNA from 1 species
CCUACGGGAGGCAGCAGUGGGGAAUAUUGGACAAUGGGCGAAAGCCUGAUCCAGCCAUGCCGCGUGUGUGAAGAAGGCCUUCGGGUUGUAAAGCACUUUCAGUGGGGAAGAAAGCCUUGGGGCUAAUACCCUCGAGGAAGGACAUCACCCACAGAAGAAGCACCGGCUAACUCCGUGCCAGCAGCCGCGGUAAUACGGAGGGUGCGAGCGUUAAUCGGAAUUACUGGGCGUAAAGCGCGCGUAGGCGGUCUGAUAAGCCGGUUGUGAAAGCCCCGGGCUCAACCUGGGAACGGCAUCCGGAACUGUCAGGCUAGAGUGCAGGAGAGGAAGGUAGAAUUCCCGGUGGAGCGGUGAAAUGCGUAGAGAUCGGGAGGAAUACCAGUGGCGAAGGCGGCCUUCUGGACUGACACUGACGCUGAGGUGCGAAAGCGUGGGUAGCAAACAGGAUUAGAUACCCUUGUAGUC